UACAGAGGGUGCAAACGUUGCUCGGAAUUAUUGGGCGUAAAGCGCAUGUAGGCGGCACGGUAAGUCGACUGUGAAAGCCCUUGGCUCAACCAAGGAAGUGCAGUCGAAACUGCCGAGCUCGAGUUCUGAAGAGGGUCGCGGAAUGGCCAGUGUAGAGGUGAAAUUCGUAGAUAUUGGCUAGAACACCAGUGGCGAAGGCGGCGACCUGGGAAGAUACUGACGCUGAGAUGCGAAAGCGUGGGGAGCAAAC
rnacentral:rRNA from 2 species